rfam:Brachypodium distachyon strain Bd21 chromosome 5, whole genome shotgun sequence.
AUAUUACUUCCUCCGUUCCAUAAUUCUUGUCGAAAUAUUACAUGUAUCUAAACAUUUUUUAGUAAUAGAUACAUUCAUAUUUGGGCAAAUUUGAGACAAGAAUUAUGGGACGGAGAGAGUACCUU